GUUCCUCGAUGGACGUGAUGACCUGGCACCAAAACCGCUUAAAGUGUAUGGAGCUGUGUCUGCAUCGAGGAAAGAACGCGGCACUGAAAUGACAAGAGGACUACUGCUCUACUGGGUCUGUGACACUACUUAUCCGAGGAGUCCUCAAACAUCAGGAUGUAGGAAGACACAAGUAAAAGGAGAAGAAUGCUGUUCAGCUGGGUCGGCGGCCACACUACUUAUUCAAGAAGCUCUUGGAUAUCAUCGGCAUGUAUGAAGUCCACUGAUGCCAAGCUGCUAAGGACCCCCACCCCCCCGCAGAAGAAGAUCG